UCUCGAUUGGUCUAGUGGUAAGGAUACCUGCUUGUCAUAAGGGACGUUGUCCGCCAACCUGCUUGGUGGGUUCUGCCGCGACAGAUCGCAGGUGGCCGGGGUUCGAUUCCCCGAUCGAGAG